rnacentral:rRNA from 1 species
AGUGAACGCUGGCGGUAGGCCUAACACAUGCAAGUCGAACGGCAGCACAGUAAGAGCUUGCUCUUACGGGUGGCGAGUGGCGGACGGGUGAGGAAUACAUCGGAAUCUACUUUUUCGUGGGGGAUAACGUAGGGAAACUUACGCUAAUACCGCAUACGACCUACGGGUGAAAGCAGGGGAUCUUCGGACCUUGCGCGAUUGAAUGAGCCGAUGUCGGAUUAGCUAGUUGGCGGGGUAAAGGCCCACCAAGGCGACGAUCCGUAGCUGGUCUGAGAGGAUGGUCAGCCACACUGGAACUGAGACACGGUCCAGACUCCUACGGGAGGCAGCAGUGGGGAAUAUUGGACAAGGGGCGCAAGCCUGAUCCAGCCAUGCCGCGUGGGUGAAGAAGGCCUUCGGGUUGUAAAGCCCUUUUGUUGGGAAAGAAAAGCAGCAGGUUAAUACCCCGCUGUUCUGACGGUACCCAAAGAAUAAGCACCGGCUAACUUCGUG